rnacentral:rRNA from 1 species
AAUCAACGCUGGCGGCGUGCCUAACACAUGCAAGUCGAACGCGAAAAUCCCGAAAGGGAUCAGUAGAGUGGCAAACGGGUGAGUAACACGUGGGUGACCUGCCUUCGAGUGGGGGAUAACGUCCCGAAAGGGACGCUAAUACCGCAUGACAUCCUGCUCUUGAACGAGUGGAGAUCAAAGCUGGGGAUCGCAAGACCUAGCGCUCAAAGAGGGGCCCGCGCCUGAUUAGCUAGUUGGUGGGGUAACGGCUCACCAAGGCAACGAUCAGUAUCCGGCCUGAGAGGGCGGACGGACACACUGGGACUGAGACACGGCCCAGACUCCUACGGAGGCAGCAGUGGGGAAUUGUUCGCAAUGGGCGCAAGCCUGACGACGCAACGCCGCGUGGAGGAUGAAGACCUU